UACCAGCACCCCGAGUGGUCGGGACGAUUAUUGGGCCUAAAGCAUCCGUAGCCGGUUCUACAAGUCUUCCGUUAAAUCCACCUGCUUAACAGAUGGGCUGCGGAGGAUACUAUGGAGCUAGGAGGCGGGAGAGGCAAGCGGUACUUAGUGGGUAGGGGUAAAAUCCGUUGAUCCAUUGAAGACCACCAGUGGCGAAGGCGGCUUGCCAGAACGCACUCGACGGUAAGGGAUGAAAGCUGGGGGAGCAAACCGG
rnacentral:rRNA from 1 species